rnacentral:rRNA from 1 species
GUCUACGGCCAUACCACCCUGAAUGUGCCUGAUCUCGUCUGAUCUGAAGCUAAGCAGGGUCUGGCCUGGUUAGUACUUGAAUGGGAGCUAUAAACU